GUCGGACCCGGUCCCUUUCAACUGUGCAGGGGAGGGGUCAAAGAUGGCGCUAGCCGUACUUGCGAACUCCCCGCCCCUAGGCCUCGGCGAUGCACGGACGGCGAUUUUCAUGCGGCCGUAGGCGGCAUGACUCGAGCCAGGCCGAGUGUCGCUCGGGGUCGAGGGUUAUGAACGCGGCGAUCCGAUUUCAUUGUUUGCGUCCCGCAUGCGGGCGAUGUAAUGAUUCUGAUUGCGCGCGCGAUGCGGUGCCAGGUUCUCCCUUCUCACGAAGGAGAGCUCGGGACCGUCGCAACCGCUCGUCGCGUUGCAGAGGGGUGACGAGACGGUGCUAUGGGGGCGCGUGCGUGCGUGUGCACCCGCAUGUCUUUGCGGGGCAGGACUCCUCGUCACGCGGCAAGACCCGUCCUCAAGCAACGUCCACUCUUUCGAUGCGCGGGCGGGGACACCUCUCUCUCGAGGCAGGGUCUCCCGACUCUUGGGGGUACGUGUCAAAAACCAACGCACGGGUGCGCGGCGCGCGCCCGUAGAAAUCCAAACAUAAGGGGCGAUGCGAGCGCCUUGCGUGCUCGCCUCGGCCAAAAGACAUUUGAUUGUGACUUGAAAUACGACUCUCGGCAACGGAUAUCUCGGCUCUCGCCACGAUGAAGAAUGUAGCGAAAUGCGAUACUUAGUGUGAAUUGCAGAAUCCCGUGAAUCAUCGAGUCUUUGAACGCAAGUUGCGCCCGAGGCUUUGGCCGAGGGCACGUCUGCUUGGGCGUCGCACUCUAAAAAUCGUCCCCCCAAACAUCGGGGGAGCGCAGAUGGCCAUCCGUGCACAACGGCGGUGCGGUUGGCUGAAAUGAGCACGAGAUCCGAUAAUCCGUUGCGACGAGCGGUGGCCUCCACGGGUCGGCGUUGGUUUGCGCGGGUAUGCUAAUCGGGCGAGUGAGGAACUUUGAUCCGGGCCUCGACGGCUCGCCUCUGCGUGGGCGAGCCCGUUGGGCCGCUACCGCGUC
rnacentral:rRNA from 1 species